rnacentral:rRNA from 1 species
AUUGAACGCUGGCGGCAGGCCUAACACAUGCAAGUCGAACGAGUGGCGGACGGGUGAGUAAUGUCUGGGGAACUGCCCGAUGGAGGGGGAUAACUACUGGAAACGGUAGCUAAUACCGCAUACCAUCGGAUGUGCCCAGAUGGGAUUAGCUAGUAGGUGGGGUAACGGCUCACCUAGGCGACGCUCCCUAGCUGGUCUGAGAGGAUGACCAGCCAAACUGGACAUGAGACACGGUCCAGACGCCUACGUGAGGCAGAAGUGGGGAAUAUUGCACAAUGGGCGCAAGCCUGAUGCAGCCAUGCCGCGUGUAUGAAGAAGGCCUUCGGGUUGUAAAGUACUUGCAGCGAGGAGGCGUUACUCGCAGAAGAAGCACUGGCUAACUCCGUGCCAGCCGCCGCGGUAAUAC